ACAUAAGCUCUGCAGGAGGCUGCUGCCAAACCUGAAGACCGGAUUUGAUGAAAUUGGGUGGAAGGAGAGAACUGACUGCUACAAGUUGUCCUCUGGCCUUUUUACACACAGGUUGUUGCAAGUGUGAGGCCUGUGCACAUGCAUGUGCACUAGUGUUGUAUCAUCGUGUAUCCUUAGAAAAAGAAGAGCUCAUAGUACUCAUGGGAGGCAAGUUGCAGAGUAUGCUAAGGUAGCAUACUGGCACUCUAUCACACUAGAGAGAUUCAUUCUGCCUUACAGUUAAGAGUUCCCUGAACCUCCAGGAGGAAGGACUCAUGGAGACAUCCCAUUUGGGGCUGAGUGUUCCAAGUCACUGUAUACUUGCUCCUUCUGGCCAUGUGAUGCUUUCUGCCACAUUAUGAUGCAAUAAGAAAUCCUGCAAGAUCAGACUUCCCAGCCUUCACGACUGUCAACCAAAUAAACAUCUAUU